UCCUAAAAUAAUUGGAAGAAAAAAAAACAAAAACAAAUCCAAUAAAACCACAACAUAACAUCAGACUCUUACAACAACUAAAAUGCAUCAUUGUCAUUAGAGGACAUACGAGAUGAGUGGGAGAUUUAUGGGGUGCUUGGUAGCUAGCUAAACAUUAGAUGAAAUUUAGAGAUCAUCUUUGUGUAUCAAAAGAAUCUACAAGAGAAUGCUCAGGAGCUGUUUGAUUAAAUGUCUGAGUGAAACAAGAUAGUUUUGAUUGGACUAUAACACUUUUCUCUCUUUAAACUCUUUCUAACUCACUUAUCGUGAGAGUCCCUCUUUUAAAAGCUAUGUAUGGUGAUUUGUCAAGAAAUCUCAUGACACAAAUUGUUGUUAUGCAAAGUGUUAUUUGGUUCUGAAAAUCUUCAAGAAAUGGCUGAGAUGCACCAGGAAUCCAACAAACGAGGUGAAAAAUAAUAAUGACCAUCAAUUAGAAUGAUGUGAAUGUUCUCAUCACACCUCACAACAAGAUGAACACAGCAAACAUCUAAUCAUCAAAGUACAUAACUCUCCUUUUGGGCACCAUCUUUUUUUCAAUUUUUUCUAGUUGUCUUGUAAAGCGAAACUUAUCCAAGGAAGCAUUAUACUGUGAAUCAAGCAGCAGUACAGUAGCAUGGGAGGAAUAUAUUACUUUCUUGUUUAAAAGUCAUAUAAAUAAUCAUAUAAAUAGUUUAAAAUAUGAAGACAA